rnacentral:rRNA from 1 species
UACAGAGGGUGCGAGCGUUAAUCGGAAUUACUGGGCGUAAAGCGCACGUAGGUGGUCGUGUAAGUCGAGUGUGAAAGCCCCGGGCUCAACCUGGGAACUGCAUUCGAGACUGCAUUACUCGAGUAUGGGAGAGGGCAGUGGAAUUUCCGGUGUAGCGGUGAAAUGCGUAGAUAUCGGAAGGAACAUCAGUGGCGAAAGCGACUGCCUGGCCCAAUACUGACACUCAAGUGCGAAAGCGUGGGGAGCAAACAGG